AUUUAUAUAGUUUAGGAAAACAUUACAUUUUCACUGUAAAGACAAAGAAGCACUUUUAUAAAUA
rnacentral:tRNA from 1 species